rnacentral:rRNA from 1 species
GACGAACGCUGGCGGCGUGCUUAACACAUGCAAGUCGAACGAUGAACCCGGAGCUUGCUCUGGGGGAUAAGUGGCGAAAGGGGGAGUAUCACGUGAGUAACCUGCCCUGGACUCUGGGAUACACGUUGGAAACGACGUCUAAUACAGGAUAGGACCUUGGAUCGCAUGAUCUGGGGUGGAAAGAUUUUUCGGUCCGGGAUGGACGCGCGGUCUCUCAGCUUGUUGGUGAGGUAAUGGCUCACAGAGGCGUCGACGGGUAGUCGGCCUGAGAGGGUGACCGGCCACACUGGGACUGAGACACGGGGCAGAAGCAUACGGGAGGCAGCAGUGGGGAAUAGUGCACAAGGGGCGAAAGCCGGAUGCAGCAAAGCCGCGUGCGGGAUGACGGCCUGCGGGUUGUAAACCGCUUUGAGUAGGGAAGAAGGGCUUCGGCUUGACGGUACCUGCAGAAAAAGGACCGGCUAACUACGUG